rnacentral:rRNA from 2 species
GGCGAACUGGUGAGUAACACGUGGGAAACCUGCCCAGAAGCGGGGGAUAACACCUGGAAACAGAUGCUAAUACCGCAUAACAACUUGGACCGCAUGGUCCGAGUUUGAAAGAUGGCUUCGGCUAUCACUUUUGGAUGGUCCCGCGGCGUAUUAGCUAGAUGGUGGGGUAACGGCUCACCAUGGCAAUGAUACGUAGCCGACCUGAGAGGGUAAUCGGCCACAUUGGGACUGAGACACGGCCCAAACUCCUACGGGAGGCAGCAGUAGGGAAUCUUCCACAAUGGACGAAAGUCUGAUGGAGCAACGCCGCGUGAGUGAAGAAGGGUUUCGGCUCGUAAAACUCUGUUGUUAAAGAAGAACAUAUCUGAGAGUAACUGUUCAGGUAUUGACGGUAUUUAACCAGAAAGCCACGGCUAACUACGUGCCAGCAGCCGCGGUAAUACGUAGGUGGCAAGCGUUGUCCGGAUUUAUUGGGCGUAAAGCGAGCGCAGGCGGUUUUUUAAGUCUGAUGUGAAAGCCUUCGGCUCAACCGAAGAAGUGCAUCGGAAACUGGGAAACUUGAGUGCAGAAGAGGACAGUGGAACUCCAUGUGUAGCGGUGAAAUGCGUAGAUAUAUGGAAGAACACCAGUGGCGAAGGCGGCUGUCUGGUCUGUAACUGACGCUGAGGCUCGAAAGUAUGGGUAGCAAACAGGAUUAGAUACCCUGGUAGUCCAUACCGUAAACGAUGAAUGCUAAGUGUUGGAGGGUUUCCGCCCUUCAGUGCUGCAGCUAACGCAUUAAGCAUUCCGCCUGGGGAGUACGGCCGCAAGGCUGAAACUCAAAGGAAUUGACGGGGGCCCGCACAAGCGGUGGAGCAUGUGGUUUAAUUCGAAGCUACGCGAAGAACCUUACCAGGUCUUGACAUACUAUGCAAAUCUAAGAGAUUAGACGUUCCCUUCGGGGACAUGGAUACAGGUGGUGCAUGGUUGUCGUCAGCUCGUGUCGUGAGAUGUUGGGUUAAGUCCCGCAACGAGCGCAACCCUUAUUAUCAGUUGCCAGCAUUAAGUUGGGCACUCUGGUGAGACUGCCGGUGACAAACCGGAGGAAGGUGGGGAUGACGUCAAAUCAUCAUGCCCCUUAUGACCUGGGCUACACACGUGCUACAAUGGAUGGUACAACGAGUUGCGAACUCGCGAGAGUAAGCUAAUCUCUUAAAGCCAUUCUCAGUUCGGAUUGUAGGCUGCAACUCGCCUACAUGAAGUCGGAAUCGCUAGUAAUCGCGGAUCAGCAUGCCGCGGUGAAUACGUUCCCGGGCCUUGUACACACCGCCCGUCACACCAUGAGAGUUUGUAACACCCAAAGUC